rnacentral:lncRNA from 1 species
GAGAGUAAGCUGAGUGAUUCAGUGCUUCACUGGGUGGAUGCUGCUUUAAAGAGGGAUGCAGGCUGGAUCUCCUGCAGCCAUGCAGUGCCGGGCUUGGAUUACAGGCUGUCUGCUGCUGCUGGGAACACUUCACAGGGGGCUGCAUGUGGAGGGUCAGAGGAAAGCUGCGGAUCUUCUGGUUCCCGAAAAAGACACUUCCUCCCGCUCCCAGAGAGGAGACUUUAAUGGCUUUCGUGUGGUGGAGGAACGUGACCGGCUCAAAUCCCCUCACAUCACCUCACACGACAGGAUUAAGGAGAGCACUGACAAAAAGGCCCAGUCCACCUCGGCGAAAUCCACGGCGGAGAACUCGCCCUCGCCCUCGCUGAAAAGAAAAGCACACUUGGUUGUUGGUCUGUUGGAUGUUAUUCCUGCUAAGCCCUCGAGGGACAUCAUUGACCUGGAUUCUAAACCCGAUACAAGGCGUGAACUGGAGAAGCUCAGUGAUUUGAACUUGACGGAGGAGAACCUGUUACCGUCUGUGAGGGCGAACAGCAGUCCCCCGUCACUUACAUCACUUACCCAGAAAAGCACGGAAAAGCCUGCGGAGAGCAGAGCGGCCGGCUCAGUGCACCCGGGCUCACGGAGGAGUUCAUAUAAACACGGUGAUGUAAUCUCAGCCUCUGACGGGAGGAGAUACAGACUGCUUAAAGGGCCUCAAGGGCCGGUCGGGCCUCCGGGGAAAAGAGGCUGUGCCGGGAACAGAGGACAUGUUGGAUUUAAGGGCGACAAGGGUUCUCAAGGUGAAAGAGGUCGAGAUGGGCCCACAGGAGAUCCAGGGCCUCCAGGACCACCAGGAUUACCUACAUUCUACCUGUGGAGAAACACUUUGGAGGAAUGGGCUGCAUUCAGGAGAACAGCGUAUUACCACUUGCUGGCAGCAGGCUGGCCUAGAGACAUGGGGCCUCCUGGAGCAAUAGGGGAGAUGGGGAGACCAGGACCACCUGGGAUUCCUGGAGACCCAGGAGAGAUGGGACGUCCAGGACGGCAAGGGGACAUGGUAAUCUGUCUCACCUGUCUGAUAUUGGUUAUUAUAGCUGGGUAU